GAUGAACGCUAGCGGCAGGCUUAAUACAUGCAAGUCGAGGGGCAGCACGGGGGCAACCCUGGUGGCGACCGGCAAACGGGUGCGGAACACGUACGCAACCUUCCCAUAACUGGUGAAUAGCCUUUCGAAAGAGAGAUUAAUACACCGUAACAUAAUGAAGAGGCAUCUCUUUAUUAUUAUAGGCUUCGGUCGGUUUUGGAUGGGCGUGCGCCUGAUUAGGUAGUUGGCGGGGUAACGCCCACCAAGCUGCGAUCAGUAACUGGUGUGAGAGCACGACCAGUCA
rnacentral:rRNA from 1 species